rnacentral:rRNA from 1 species
UGGCGGACGGGUGAGUAACGCGUAGGAACCUGUCGAACAGUGGGGGAUAACGCUGGGAAACCGGCGCUAAUACCGCAUGUGGUCGGGCAACCGAAGAAAGCAUUUUAUGCGCUGUUUGAGGGGCCUGCGUCCGAUUAGCUUGUUGGUGGGGUAAAGGCCUACCAAGGCAUCGAUCGGUAGCUGGUCUGAGAGGAUGGUCAGCCACACUGGGACUGAGACACGGCCCAG